rnacentral:rRNA from 1 species
UACAGAGGUCCCAAGCGUUGUUCGGAUUCAUUGGGCGUAAAGGGUGCGUAGGCGGCGCGGUAAGUCGGGUGUGAAAUCUCGGGGCUUAACUCCGAAACUGCAUUCGAUACUGCCGUGCUUGAAGACUGGAGAGGAGACUGGAAUUUACGGUGUAGCGGUGAAAUGCGUAGAUAUCGUAAGGAAGACCAGUGGCGAAGGCGGGUCUCUGGACAGUUCCUGACGCUGAGGCACGAAGGCCAGGGGAGCAAACGGG